rnacentral:snRNA from 1 species
AGCUUUGCGCAGUGGCAGUAUCGUAGCCAAUGAGGUUUAUCUGAGGCGCGAUUAUUGCUAAUUGAAAGAAUCUUAUAUGCU